rnacentral:rRNA from 1 species
GACGAACGCUGGCGGCGUGCCUAAUACAUGCAAGUCGAACGCUUCUUUUUCCACCGGAGCUUGCUCCAUCGGAAAAAGAGGAGUGGCGAACGGGUGAGUAACACGUGGGUAACCUGCCCAUCAGAAGGGGAUAACACUUGGAAACAGGUGCUAAUACCGUAUAACAAUCGAAACCGCAUGGUUUUGAUUUGAAAGGCGCUUUCGGGUGUCGCUGAUGGAUGGACCCGCGGUGCAUUAGCUAGUUGGGGAGGUAACGGCUCGCCAAGGGGACGAUGCAUAGACGACCUGAGAGGGUGAUGGGCCACAUGGGGACAGAGAAACGGCCCAAACUCCUACGGGAGGCAGCAGUAGGGAAUCUUCGGCAAUGGACGAAAGUCUGACCGAGCAACGCCGCGUGAGUGAAGAAGGUUUUCGGAUCGUAAAACUCUGUUGUUAGAGAAGAACAAGGAUGAGAGUAACUGUUCAUCCCUUGACGGUAUCUAACCAGAAAGCCACGGCUAACUACGUGCCAGCCGCCGCAGUAA